rnacentral:rRNA from 1 species
AAAUUGAAGAGUUUGAUCAUGGCUCAGAUUGAACGCUGGCGGCAGGCCUAACACAUGCAAGUCGAGCGGAAACGACACUAACAAUCCUUCGGGUGCGUUAAUGGGCGUCGAGCGGCGGACGGGUGAGUAAUGCCUAGGAAAUUGCCUUGAUGUGGGGGAUAACCAUUGGAAACGAUGGCUAAUACCGCAUAAUGCCUACGGGCCAAAGAGGGGGAUCUUCGGACCUCUCGCGUCAAGAUAUGCCUAGGUGGGAUUAGCUAGUUGGUGAGGUAAUGGCUCACCAAGGCGACGAUCCCUAGCUGGUCUGAGAGGAUGAUCAGCCACACUGGAACUGAGACACGGUCCAGACUCCUACGGGAGGCAGCAGUGGGGAAUAUUGCACAAUGGGCGAAAGCCUGAUGCAGCCAUGCCGCGUGUAUGAAGAAGGCCUUCGGGUUGUAAAGUACUUUCAGUUGUGAGGAAGGGUGUGUAGUUAAUAGCUGCGCAUCUUGACGUUAGCAACAGAAGAAGCACCGGCUAACUCCGUGCCAGCAGCCGCGGUAAUACGGAGGGUGCGAGCGUUAAUCGGAAUUACUGGGCGUAAAGCGCAUGCAGGUGGUUCAUUAAGUCAGAUGUGAAAGCCCGGGGCUCAACCUCGGAACUGCAUUUGAAACUGGUGAACUAGAGUGCUGUAGAGGGGGGUAGAAUUUCAGGUGUAGCGGUGAAAUGCGUAGAGAUCUGAAGGAAUACCAGUGGCGAAGGC